rnacentral:rRNA from 1 species
GCCUAACACAUGCAAGUCGAGCGGCAGCACAAGUAAGUUUACUUAUGACGGUGGCGAGCGGCGGACGGGUGAGUAAUGCCUAGGGAUCUGCCCAGUCGAGGGGGAUAACAGUUGGAAACGACUGCUAAUACCGCAUACGCCCUACGGGGGAAAGAGGGGGACCUUCGGGCCUCUCGCGAUUGGAUGAACCUAGGUGGGAUUAGCUAGUUGGUGAGGUAAUGGCUCACCAAGGCGACGAUCCCUAGCUGUUCUGAGAGGAUGAUCAGCCACACUGGGACUGAGACACGGCCCAGACUCCUACGGGAGGCAGCAGUGGGGAAUAUUGCACAAUGGGGGAAACCCUGAUGCAGCCAUGCCGCGUGUGUGAAGAAGGCCUUCGGGUUGUAAAGCACUUUCAGUAGGGAGGAAAGGGUGAGUCUUAAUACGGCUCAUCUGUGACGUUACCUACAGAAGAAGGACCGGCUAACUCCAGUUGCCAGCAGCCGCGGUAAUACGGAGGGUCCGAGCGUUAAUCGGAAUUACUGGGCGUAAAGCGUGCGCAGG